AAUAAAAUAAAAAUAAAAAUAAAAAAAAAAACAUGCAAGAAGAAAAUGUCUUAGAGGAACCAAUAAAUUUACAAUUCUGUUACGGAAUCAACGAAUCGUAUAGCAGUGUUCAUGCAAUAAAUAUAGAAAAAACAAAUAAUGAAUACGACAAUGAUAAUGACAAUUCUCAAAACGUUAAACAUGAACUUGUAGUUAUUUACAGCUCGGAUAAUAAUAUAGUUAUGGUUGAAGGGAAAAAAAAACAAAUAUUAUUUAGGGGGCAUUUAAACAAAAUAACUAAAGUAAUAAAAAGUUAUAAUAAUAAAUACAUCGUUUCUUGUGAUCAAGGUAAUAAAUCUUGCAUUAUUUUAUGGAAAGUAAUUAACAAUUUAUUAGUACUUAUUAACAAGUUUUAUUUUAGUUACAAGCAAGAUAAAUCAAGUAAAAAUUAUUUAUCUUUAACAUUGGAUAUGGAUCAAAAAGGAACAACAAAUGUGAAUGACAAAGAGGCCUUACAUGUUAAACUACAUAAUGAAAACAUAAUAGCUAAAACAAAAACAGGGAAAAACACAGGAGUAAGCAUAGAAACAGAUAUAAAUGCUAUUACAAGCGAGGAUAAUGAUACAGAUAAUCUCACUGAACACAAUGAUGACAUCGGCUACGAAUGUGUUGAUAUAAGUUACGAUAAUAAAUAUAUCUGUGCAGUGACAGAACCAAAAUUAUAUACUAAAUCUAAUGAACAAAAUUUAAAAAAAAAAAAAAAUACUCAAUUUAGUGUGAAUAAUAAUGUUUACGUACAAAAAAUAAUUGUUUUUGAUGUGAAUUCUGUUGAUAACAAAAUAGUUUGUAUUGAUCAAGUAUAUGGUAAAAAAAAACAAAAAAAUAUACGAUUUAGUAGAAAAUGUGAAAUAAUUACAAAUAGUUCAUCUAAAUUAUAUAUUUAUAACUUUGAUAAAACAAAACGAACAAUUAGCCAUUAUAGCCCAUCUUUAUAUAAAAGUAAUAAAAUAAAUGAACGUAUUAUAUUUACAGAAACAUCAUUUGUUGAUAACUCAACAGCUAUAAUUACAGGAACAAAACAUGGACAUUUAAUUAUAUGGGAUUAUAGUUCCAUUUUUUUAAAUAAAACUAAACAAACUAUUAAACAGAGAGAGUACCAAAAAAUAUUAGAAAUUAAUAAAAAUGUGUCAAUAAAUAAUGUACUAAGUUAUGGAAAUUUUAUUAUACUCGGAAUGAAUAAUGGAAAUAUACAAAUUUAUGACAAUGAAUUAAAAUGUUAUGCAUGGUUUGAAAAUAAAGAACUAGGUUCUAUAAAAUCUUUAUCUUUUACAUUUUCUAAUUAUGACCAAGACUUUUUUUUAUGGAACUCUUUUAUUUUUUUUACAGAUAAAAAUAUAAUCAAAAAAAUUUGUCCUUCUACUUUUAAUAACGGUACUAGUUUGACUGAGGAGGAGUUGUUGAUGGCCGGUUCAGUUAGUACUACUUCUAAGUGUACUACAAAUAUGAGCACAACAAAUAUG
rnacentral:lncRNA from 1 species